CUCACCAUGAUGAUUUGAAUACCGCCCCAGUCUGAUGACUGAAGAAAGGUAUUUACUGAGUUGUG
ensembl:snoRNA SNORD31 Small nucleolar RNA SNORD31